UAGGGCUCCAUAAGGCACUGCCACAUGGAUCUCUUCAUUUAAGCCUCACAACUUUUGUAAGCCAAGUAUUGCUCUUAUGAUCUUGUUGCAGAUAUCUAGUGCUAUGUAACAAACCACCCCAAAACUUAGUGACUUAAAACAACAACAUUUCUUGGGUCACAAAUCUGCCAUUUGGGCAGGCUCCGUGGGGAAGCCCUUCCUCUCUGCCCCGUUCGUCAUCACUAGGGCAGCCGGAAGACUAUGGGUCAGAAUAUCUGAAGGCUCUCACUCUCACGUCUGGCCAUUGAUGCUAGCUUUUGACUGAGACCUCAGGUGGCACUCUCGAUCAGAACCUGCACAUGCCCUCUCCAUGUGGCCUAGGCUUCCUCACAGCACUGUGGCUGAGUUCCAACAUGAGAAAGAGAGAGAGAGAUUGAGAACCAACCAGCAGAAGCCAGAUGCCUUUUAUGACCUAGCCCAGGAAGUUACACUGCGUCAUCUGUGACAUAUUCUAUUUGUUGAAGCAGCCACAGGGACCUGCCCAAGUUCAAUUGGAGGGGACGUAGACUCCGCCUUGUAAUGGAAAGUUGUAAUGUUCUGGAAGAGCAUGUGGCACUGGAAAUACUGCUGUGGCCUUUUUUGGAAAAUAUACAGAGCCCCAAUUUACAGAAGAGAACAUUGAGGUGCUCUCCCCACACCCUGCCCAGAGGUUAUCUCAGGCCUGAAGCUCGCAUUGACAUCCCACACUUCGUGCACUGAGCCAGGCAGCAUCCAGCACACAUGAGGGCAGCCUGGUUAUGACAGCAACACGUCAUAUGCCCACAGCCAGACACAGCUGGAAUCACAGCCUCCCGUCCACCGCUACACAGCUGGGCGACCUUGGGUUUAACAGGUUGGGAUCUGAAAAUCAGAGAAGGCAGAGGGACAGCAAAGUUGAUUUGGAAGUGCCCCAGGGAGAGGCUGGUGUGACAUAUCCUUUGCUUUCCACAUGGGUUGGUGAUCCUUGCCACUUAGAAGCCUCAGACAGCAGACAGUCCACCUCAGCCCCCUGAGGGAUGACGCUAGCUCUUCCAACUUCUGAAGUUGAAUCAGGCAGUUGCAAUGGAACGGAGGUAGUGGAGGAAGAAGAGAUCACGUGAGCAGAAAGAGAACCCUCGAAUCAGUCAAUGUC
rnacentral:lncRNA from 1 species